rnacentral:rRNA from 1 species
UACGUAGGGGGCAAGCGUUGUCCGGAAUCAUUGGGCGUAAAGAGCGCGUAGGCGGCCCGAUAAGUCCGCUGUGAAAGUCCAGGGCUCAACCCUGGAAUGCCGGUGGAUACUGUCGGUCUCGAAUCCGGAAGAGGUGAGUGGAAUUCCUGGUGUAGCGGUGAAAUGCGCAGAUAUCAGGAGGAACACCAAUGGCGAAGGCAGCUCACUGGGACGGUAUUGACGCUGAGACGCGAAAGCGUGGGGAGCAAACAGG